rnacentral:lncRNA from 1 species
ACGGGAGAGAUUUGAGUGGCUAGAAGCGGAUCCAAUACCUCCAUGCGACGCGAAGGCAUUAUCAGGGUCGUGCGGUCCAGUUUCCGGCCAAUCCAUGGUAAGGCGCAGUCACCGGCGGUUAGAAGCGCCAAAUCUGGUGGCGGCGGCGGCAACAGAUCCACCGGUUUUGCGUCAGCGACGGGAUGAGGAAACAAAAAUCCAAGUGACCAAGGACUGCGAUGAAGACUGCAAAGUGUCCCCGGCAUGCGGGUGCCUGCAGGCAAUGGGAGGGACGGCGCCGGCGCAGAUGCAGCACGGGAGUGGAGCGGGGGAGGCAGAGGGGGAAUGGAGAAUUUUUGUUCAACCGUCGAG